UACGUAGGGUGCAAGCGUUGUCCGGAAUUAUUGGGCGUAAAGAGCUCGUAGGCGGUUUGUCGCGUCGAAUGUGAAAACCCGGGGCUCAACCCCGGGCCUGCAUUCGAUACGGGCAGACUAGAGUUCGGUAGGGGAGUCUGGAAUUCCUGGUGUAGCGGUGAAAUGCGCAGAUAUCAGGAGGAACACCGGUGGCGAAGGCGGGUCUCUGGGCCGUAACUGACGCUGAGGAGCGAAAGUGUGGGGAGCGAACAGG
rnacentral:rRNA from 1 species